AUCACUUCUCAGCCUUUUGGCUAAGAUUAAGUGUAGUAUCUGUUCUUAUCAGUUUAAUAUCUGAUACGCCCCUAUCUGGGGGCCAUAUAUUAAAUGGAUUUUUAGAACAGGUAGAUGGAAGAAGAGCUUGCUCUGUCCACUCCACGCAUUGACCUGGUAUUGCAGUACCUCCAGGACCGGUGCACAAGAA
rnacentral:snRNA from 1 species